rfam:Ictidomys tridecemlineatus contig000990, whole genome shotgun sequence.
GGGGAUGUAGCUCAGUGGUAGAGUACUUGCCUAGCAUGCAUGAGGCCUUGGAUUUGAAUCCCAACAUCACAA